CAAAGAGUAGUUUAAUUUAAAAUUAUAGCUUUGGGAGUUAUAGAUAGGAGUUAAUGUCUUCUCUCUUUGA
rnacentral:tRNA from 1 species